AGAGUUUGAUCAUGGCUCAGAUUGAACGCUGGCGGCAUGCUUUACACAUGCAAGUCGAACGGCAGCACAGGGAGCUUGCUCCCGGGUGGCGAGUGGCGCACGGGUGAGUAAUACAUCGGAACGUGUCCUGUUNUGGGGGGAUAACUGCUCGAAAGGGUGGCUAAUACCGCAUGAGACCUGAGGGUGAAAGCGGGGGAUCGCAAGACCUCGCGCAAUUGGAGCGGCCGAUGCCCGAUUAGCUAGUUGGUGAGGUAAAGGCUCACCAAGGCGACGAUCGGUAGCUGGUCUGAGAGGACGACCAGCCACAUUGGAACUGAGACACGGUCCAAACUCCUACGGGAGGCAGCA
rnacentral:rRNA from 1 species